rnacentral:lncRNA from 1 species
GGAGAAGGGAGGGGGUGUGUUGUCUGUUUGUUACGUCUCUUUGGAGAGCCAGUCUUAAUUUUGAAACCAGGGCAAGCAGUUAGUUGAUCUUUUUAAAAAUGCCUUUUUGGGACUUUUUACCACAUGAAAGUACAACAGUAUAAUCAAUCUCUGUUACCCUAUCUCCAGUAAUACUCGUAGCUGUAGUUAGUCCCGUGUGUGUGCAUGUUUUCAGUGUGAAUGGGGAGGGGACUUGCACAAAUGUAUAGGUGUGUAUUUGUGUGUGUGCAUGUCUACUCUUAAAUGUAUUCUCAAGCAAGUCUCAGUUAUGCUGUGUAACCUAUGUCUCUGAAAGAGGAAGUUCCCUUUGUAAAAUUUAUCCUUUAUUCCGUACUUCUCAGACUGAUAGCUCUUUGUAACUCUCAAGAGGGUAGAGAACUGGAGCCUGCUCUUAGGCCUCUCCUGUAGAGUGUAGACAGCAGACAAUCUCUGCAGCAGAUUUCCAGCUACACUUCAGUUGGAUUUGAAACCACUUGUGUACCUCUGUAAUCAUGAGCUGUUAAACUCUUCAUGGUGUUCUGCUUAGAUAAAUUCUUCUAGAACAGUUCUCACCUUGAAUACAAGCAAUAUCACCGAAGACCAGAGGCCAUUCAAAGGUCUAAGAACACAUACCCUUUUAGCUGAGCCACCUAGUUAAAGAUUUUAGGGCUGUACAAUCGGAAUGUUUUUUACUUCCCACCUAGGUGAUAGAUAGAUGGAUUGUUGAGUGGCUUCAGUGUGCUUUAGAUACCUUGUACGUGCAUGAAACAUUCUGUGGGGUGACACUUCAUCCAGGGUUGGCUUUCAAGCUUCCUUCUGACUGGUUUCUAUUUGCUUGUGAAAGAACCCUCCUGGAUGGCUGUGCAUUUUACCUUAUUUGAUAACUGCAACUGUAAUGCUCGUUCUUGGUUUAAAAGCAACAGCGAAGUGUUCAGUGAUCUGUCUUCCUUACCUGAUUGUCCGCUCACUCCUUUCCAGAUCCUGGUGUUGCCUAUUCUUUCUUCCAAGUACUAGGGAAGGGGGCAGGAAGUGGGAGGUGGUAAUAUAAAAUAUAUAGAGAUAUCUUUUUACAUAUGAUGAUGUGCCCAUCAUAUAUGUUCUGAAUUUGCCAUUUUCAGUUACCAUAUUUGGAAACAUUUGAGAUACAGGACACAGUACUUUGAAGUCAAAUGUGUUGCUUUUAAAAAGUACAUUUCAAGUAAGCCGAAACAGGGUACCUGGCAUUUUCAUUGUGUCAGAAUGAUGGAUUUUCUAUUAAGUGCAUUUCCCGAGUUUCACAGUUGAUCUAUCUAUUUCCCUCGGCCAUCUCAAGUAGAUCAGUUAUCUGUCAACAGGUUUGGUUAGGGACAACUUUGGAAACAGUUCAGCACAGUUAAGUAUCAGCCAUAGGUACAUACUGGAGAAACUCCUAAAUGUUGCCAGGAGAAGGAUGAACAUAUUUCUUAAUGUCAUCUUGGGUAAUGAAGAAAAGAAAACCUAAGCCAACAAAAGUCUGGGAGGAUCCAUCCCAUCAGCAUUUGUGUUGAUAACUAGCACGACCCAUGCCCAUCAUGGAAUUCCACGGGCGUGAAGAUGAACUUCAGCUCCACAUGUGACCAUGGAUGACGGACGCAUGAUGUAAUGAUGUUCCCAAAAGUCAAGCCACAGGAGGAUUUAUCCAUUGUGAUUCGCUUUGGUAAAGGUCUAAACAGGCUGUUAAAAAUACACGGUAAACAAAAGUGAAGCAAAGAGUUGAUGUGCAGAUCAUGCUUAGCGGCUACUUUGAGAAUGACCUUGGAGGACAAAGGGGUUUUCAGAGGAAUGGCCACCGCUCUUUCUCAAACUGGAUGGGCGCUUUUUGAAAUGUAUGUUUCUGUGCUUUUGUGUAUAUGCUAUUUCUUAAUAAAAAUUUUUUAAGUGGGAAAAGGUCU